ensembl:lncRNA
AUUAUGUAUUACAUAUGCAAUCCAUCUACCUAAUAUAUAUUAGCUAGCUAAUAUUUUAUAUAUCUAUAUAUUAUCUCUCCUCUAUCCAAUCAAUGUCGCCAUGAAGGGCAGCACCCCAACCCACAAGGUGUGAUCUCUUUGCAGGUACUUCUGCUGAGCCUUCCAUGGGCCUUUCAUUAGUCUCUCAAGUUAGUUGCUUCUAAGGAAUAGAAUACACUUUAAAACUCAUGACUCCAGAGUCAUGAGCCUGUCGCUGCACUUCCUCUAGUUCUUUACUCUGAGGAAAUGUCAUGUGUACAAUGUUAGUAGAUCAGGCAUUUUGCAGGCCCUUAGAUGGUGGUGUUGGCAGAGAUAACACCUGCCGCUUUACUGUGGCAGGGGAGACAGAUCCUUCUCCAGAGUGUCAAUUCAGGAAACUCAUUGAAUGCACAUGCUUCUCAAACCUGGGCUUCCCUGGAGGUGCAGUAAAGCCUACAGAAAUCCAGAAGGGGCAAUCUCCAAGUCUUCAGUAAGUACUGGAGGACUUUCUGCCUUUCCUUUAAGAUACAUCCUUAGUAGAGCAAUUUGAGUAACAGCACUAGUGAUAUUCCUGGCAUGUCUGAUAUUAUGAUAGAUAUUGUCUCUGAGUGCACAUUGAGGGUUCCAACCUCUUCACAAACGUGGAUGCAAAGUUAUCACCAAAAUGGGGACCAGGAAUAUUUUUUAGCACUAUGCAUUGAAGUAGAGAAACCAUGUCAAGCACGUGUCUAUAUAAAUGCAGAACUGUAGUAUAAUAUCAUAAUGAGGAUACUGACAUUGGUACAAUCUACUGAUCUUACUUAUAUGUAUAGAAAUCGUGUCAUCAAUAAAGUAUACGUUCUUUAAAAAUAAUAGAUUCUAAGAAACAAAACCUCAGCUACUCAUGAAAGCAUAUGCAUGGGUGCAUUAACUAUAAUACAAAAAUGGCUAAAAAUAAAUAACAGCACACCUCUUAAAGCAUACUAUUCAAAUUAUUAUUAGCUGAUGGAAUUAGAGUGAUCUUUGUUUUAGUUUACUUAUUUUGAUUUCUACAUAUUUUCAGAUCUACCAUUUAAUAUCUCUUUUAUGAUAAAAACAAAAAUCUUUUUAGAAGAAAACAAAAGGUUUCUUUUGGUAUGCCAUGAACACACAGCCUGAGAGUAAGCAUUGAAAUAGCUAGAAUGGGCCAGGCGUGGUGGCUCACGCCUGUAAUCCCAGCACUUUGAGAGGCCUGAGGUGGGUGGAUCACUUGAGGUCAGGAGUUUGAGACCAGCCUGGUCAAUAUGGUGAAACCCCAUUUCUACUAAAAACACAAAAAAUUAGCCGGGCGUGGUGGUGCACACCUGUAAUCCCAGAUGCUCGGGAGACCGAGGCAGGAGAAUAGCUUGAACCUGGAAGCCAGAGGUUGCAGUGACCCCAGAUCACACACUACUGUACUCCACCCUGGGCAACACAGUGAGACUUUGUCUCAAAACAAAACAAAACAAAAAACAACACAAAUCCUGAAUAUCUAGAAUGGUCGGAAUUACCCUUAAGAGAGGCUGGUUUAGUUGACUGACAUGUGUUGUUGAUUUGGUUAUUAC